CUUGCUGGUGGUGUGUGGGAGAACUAAAGAGAGUGACCUUGUCUCAGAAUGCCAUCCAUCUAGCUUGACAGCAUGCAGCGGCGUUGCUAUUCUGCAUGGAAAUGUUGCAGCGUUGUGAAUAAAAUGCAGAAUUAGCUCGCACCCUUUCUGGGACGUCUUUCUCUCUUCCCUGGCUGUUAGUGCUUCAUUUCAGAUGUUUUUGAUUUGGAUCUUUUAACCUCUAAUGAUGACCAGGGGUGCCUCCAAUCAAGUUGGCAACCUUAAGAUUAUGGCUGCAAACCCCUCACACUACCGGAUUAUUUGGGCCUUUAAUCGGUUUCAACCAACCUCGGCUAAAAAACAACUAAAAAAAUAGUCGGGAGGGAUGAAUUGAACCCAAAUUCAGUUAUCCUCUCUUGUGCGGCCAGCAUUAGACGCAGGAGAAUGGGCACGCUGUCAUGAUUUGUUCUUGUCUGCUCUGUGUUUCUGUAUCUCUAUCCUUGUUUUAGUCUGCAGUGGUCAGUACCUAUCAAAAGUGGUCCAAGGAAAGAAAAGCUGUGAACCGGUGACAAGGUCAUGGAAGGCCAAGGCUCAUUGACGCAUGUCGUCCGAUCCAACAGAAAAGCAGUCAGAUUGCUGAAAAAGGUUCUGGGUAAACAUGGUGAUGAUGAUGCAGACACUUACAGCACCGUGAAAGUUCCUCUUCCGGGGGAACACGUGGCACCAGGAUACACUAUGGAAAGAGGACAAGCCAGCGGAGGCAGUGUGAUGCUUUGACAUUUGACCCCAAGUUGCAACUUCUGACAUAUGUAAAAAUAGUAAGUCGCUUUGGAUAUAAUCGUCAGCUAAAUGUAAUGUGAACAUUCUGUUAAAGAAUGUUUUAUGCAAAAAUGAGAUGAUCUCUAUCCUGAAAUAAAUUCAAUUCAGUUCAUUCCCUGAUGGCAGUCGCCUCUUUCAGCAGGAUAAUGUGUCCUGCCACAGAACAAAAACACAUGUCAUAUCCAUCCUGACCUGUGAACUGAAGCACCAUUACAAAUAAAGACAUUUUAAUCCAUCUGAACUCAACCA